ensembl:miRNA Mir3079 microRNA 3079
GCCAAGCUAAGGACUUUGAUCUGAUGAGCUAAGCUGGAGUUCCCAUUCCCCUGGCUCCAGGCUCAUCAGAUGAAAGUCCUUAGCUUAGGU